rnacentral:rRNA from 1 species
GAUGAACGCUGGCGGCGUGCCUAAUACAUGCAAGUCGAGCGAACGGACGAGAAGCUUGCUUCUCUGAUGUUAGCGGCGGACGGGUGAGUAACACGUGGAUAACCUACCUAUAAGACUGGGAUAACUUCGGGAAACCGUAGCUAAUACCGGAUAAUAUUUUGAACCGCAUGGUUCAAAAGUGAAAGACGGUCUUGCUGUCACUUAUAGAUGGAUCCGCGCUGCAUUAGCUAGUUGGUAAGGUAACGGCUUACCAAGGCAACGAUGCAUAGCCGACCUGAGAGGGUGAUCGGCCACACUGGAACUGAGACACGGUCCGGACUCCUACGGGAGGCAGCAGUAGGGAAUCUUCCGCAAUGGGCGAAAGCCUGACGGAGCAACGCCGCGUGAGUGAUGAAGGUCUUCGGAUCGUAAAACUCUGUUAUUAGGGAAGAACAUAUGUGUAAGUAACUGUGCACAUCUUGACGGUACCUAAUCAGAAAGCCACGGCUAACUACGUG